ensembl:lincRNA
AUGAAGGGUUCCCGCCUGGGAGGCCCUACGAGAGGGAGGCCCACCCUGCCAGGGCCCGUGUCCCAGAGCUCCCUGACUGCCAUCUGGCCCAGGUUCAAGCAGGAGGUGUUCAGCCAGCAAGUCGGCCUACUGCAGCCCUCUUGGGCCUUCCUGUGUCACUAUGUGACUCUGCCCGGGCUCCUGGUCCUCCUCACUGUGUGCCUCCUGCAUCUCUACUUCCAGCCGGCUGCCUACUACUUCAGCUGGAAUAGCAGCACGAGCCAGGAGGUCAGGCAGCCCUACCUGCAGAGCAGCCUCAGCUGGGCUGCCCUCCUCGCCUUCCUCACCCUUCUGCCAGUCCCGGCCUACGCGCUUCACCACUGGUGGUGCUUGGAGAACAAAAGGCCCACAGCGGUUGCCAAGGCCAAGGAGUGGCUCAAGCGCCCUGGGAGGAAAACCAACCUCAGCUCCCAGCACAAAGCCCGGAAGACCUGGCUGAAGCGGCUUAGCCUGCCCUGGUUCCGGCUCCUGCGCCCGUCCCUGAGGGGGGACAGCAAGCUCUCCUCCCACUUCACCAUGCCUCAGGCGAUCUCCCCGUUCUCCAUGAACGUCACCCCCUCCCAGCAGACGAGUCCCAGCUCUGGACCCAAGGACAGUGCUGGUGGCCGUGAGGAGAAGACAGAGAAGCUGCCCGACAACUCCGGGAAGUAGCUGGCGCCGCCACCUGUGUUCCAAGCAGCAGCUCUGUCCGCCGCCCGGCAGCCCUGGCGCCCACCUUCCUCUGCGGGAGUGAGGGGCAGCGUCCUGCCCCCCAUGGUGUCACUGGCACGUCUGUCCCCUGCUGUCCCUAACUGUCUCAUGGUGACCUAGCCAGAACUAGAACCCGGGUCUCCCACGUCCCUGUAGAACGCUUUCACUUUUCAUUUCCCCACCCAGCCUCCCCUCCUGCCCUGCCUUCCCUGCUCCCAGCCCUCCCAUGGCUCCCCAGCAUCCACGGACCAUCGCAGCUCUCCCCGUGAUGUCCCUGGCGGAUCUGUCCAGCUUCUCCCCGCCUUACGUGGCGGUCACUGGGGCCAGCAGGCCGGGCUUGGAAAGCGGGGGCCCCCUCCGCACCCUCUCAACACAGCUCUCCUGUCUCCAGGACUUCCCGCCUUUUCCCACCUGCUGCAUUCCCUGCUCAUCCUUAGAUGAAACGUCCUCUCUCCCGGGAAAUUACCAAAGGCAGCCUGCUUCCCACCAGAGGCUCCAAACUCCAUCUCAUUCACUUAUCUAAUGAAGAGUAUUUGUUUGUUUAUUGGUUUUGGUUUUUGUUUUUUGAGAUAAGGGCUUGCUAUGGAGCCCCAGCUGGCCAUGAAUUUGCAGCAAUCCUUCUGCCUCAGCCUCCUGAUUCCUGGGAUCACAGGCGUGCGCCACCACCUCCGGCAAUGUAACUAAGAAUAUUGAUGGAGUGUAAAUUCACAACCAGAAACAAGACAGGCAAAACCCCUGGCUCCCACAGAGGAGCUCACUUCCAGCCGUGUGGUUGGGGUGAGAGGAGGGAGUGAUUCGGAAGCUGAUGGAGGAGGAGGCCUGGCUCCUGGGCCCCUCAGCCCCACCCUCUUCCCUCAGCCCAGCUCCUGCUCUCAGAGGCGAAGGGGCCUUCGCCCAGGCAACUUCACCCGACAGGGAGCGAACUCCCGGUGAAUGAGUCCCUGCACACUGUGCAUAAACCAAAGCCCAGAAACGUGCCCGGAUUUGCUGCCCCCUCAGCCAACCCCAGGGCCUCCCAGCCACAGAAACCACUCAAGUUCAGGGACAGUGACGGGGUGGGCAUGAGGCUGGGAAGAUGUGAGGAGCACGAGAAACAGGAGCGAGAGCUUUUAAAAAUCCAGGUAGGGCUCUUGAGCAAAGAAAGGACCAUUUUGCUGCUAUUCUGCUUCACAGUUAACACCCAACCUCUUAAAAAUUGUUUAUUUCAGGCAGUUUUCCCCCAAGACUCUAAGUUCAAUGAACAAAAUAUAUAAUUCUAUUUAUAAUUAAACUACAGGGACUCAAAGCUCAGACAGUAGGGGAAUCACUCACUUUCCGCUUGCCCUUCCUUGAUUCUCUUGUGCAGUGGGCAACCCCAUGGGGUGCAUAGAACUGAGAGGGACCUGUACUUGCAGUUGAAAGGGAGAGAGGUUUCUUCUGGCUCACAGUUUUGGAGGGUUCCGUUUACGGUCAUCCGGCUCCGAGGCAGAGACAUCCGGGUGGAAGGGCCUGGCGGAGGACACCUCCACACCGCAUGGAAGCGCGGAGCCAUAGAGGGAGACCCUGCCCUCUAACGACGCACCUCCGCCGACACUCUCUGCAUACCGGGCCCCACCUCAAACAGCACAGUCAACCAUGAACUCAUCCGUGGACUGAUCCAUGAUCCACCUUCCAAAAGCCCCAACACUAAACAGAAGACUUUUGGAAGACAGUUUAGAUCUAAACAAUAACAUUCUGUCCCCUGGCCACCAAAAGGCUUAUAUCCAUCUCAUUAUGCAAAAUGCAUUUAGUCCAUCUGUAAGAGUCAACAAAGGCUUCACAGUUACAUCAUUGCUAAAAAUUCCAAGUCCUGCUGGGCAGAGUGACACAUCUGUAAUCCCAGGACUUGGGAGGCUGAAGCAGGAGGAUCACUGCAUAGUGAGUUCAAGGCCAGCCUGGGCUACAUAAAAAGACCCUGUCAUAAAUAAAUAAAUAAAUACAUACAUAAAUAGUCCAAAGUCUCCUCUGAGACUCAAGGCAAACUCUUGGCUGUGAAAAUAAAAAAACAACUUGCACAAUGCCAAGGACAAUGGCACAAAGUAAACAUCCGCCAUCCAAAAGGGAGGAAUAGGAGAACAAAAGGAAUAAGACCACAGCAAGAUUUAAAAAACAAACAAAUAAACAUUAAAGCCUGUAUAGCCCCAUAUCAGCACACAGGGAAAGUUGUGGACAGAUGUGAGCUUCAAAGGGCUUGGGCAGCCCCACCCCUGUGGCCUUGCUGGUCACACCCCACAUGAUCUCUCUCUUGGCCUGGCUCACUCCCUGAAGAUUUCCUCAGCAGACAUUCCACAUUCCUGGAAUCUCCAACUUCCCGGCAUUUUCAGUGUACCUUCAGCUCCACUCUCACAGCUUCACGCACUGCCCCCUCAAGGGCACACUGCCUGGCCUUCCGAGGCCUUCUUUUAAAAUCUGGGUGUAAGCCUUCAUGACCCCAGAGCUCAUAUACUCUGCAUCACAUACACCAGCAUCACAUGAAAAAUGCCAUGUUCUGCCACCAGUGUAGGUAGUAACCAGGCCCCCUUGGGCCAUGGCUGUAGUGGUCACUGAGUGUUAGGAUGGCUCAGCAUGGUGAAAAGAUCUGGAAAACCAGUUCCCUCAGUGACCCUUCUCAUGCAGGGGGCUCAAAGACUUCCCAAAUGAAAGGUUUGCACAUUGGCAGCUUUGAGCCUGUAAUGGGUGAGGUCUUGCUGAUUCCUGAGAUGCCCUCGAGGCAUCUUUCUUCUUGUCUCUACACAAAGUACUUGGUUUCUUUUUAAUGGCACUAAUCUCUUCAGCAGCCCCACCUCUUUUGGCUCCAACUUUAUACAUGGGUCUUUCUGAACCAAAAUUUAACUUUUCCAAAUUUUUUUUGCUCUGCCUUUUGGCCCCAGUUAUCACUAUAAAUCUGGCUAAAAGAAGCCAGCAAUACCCAUGACACAUCCUGAAUGUUGAGCUGUCUUGAAAUUUUCUCCUGCUCUUCUGCUUCUGUCCACCAUCGUGUGCCUCCUCGUGCCUCCAAACCUAACCAUGUCUUCUCACAAGACUUUCAGAAUCAAGUGAAUCCUGACCAGGAAGCAAAAGCAGAAUCAUCCCAUUUCUCAGUGGAUUCAGAUGAAUCAGAUACAAGUCCAAGAGAAGUCACUGGAGGGAGACCAAGCUGGGACUGUAAGGAGUAGCAUGUGAGCUGCAGCAUAUUUACUCUCUCAGGGUCCACAAGAUGAUACCUUCUCUGAUCAAGAUUGUAUCACCAUGUCAAGCUUAAAAAAUACCACUGCCUGGGCAGUUGAACAUGCUUAGUCUGGAAUCUUUUUCUGUGAUCAGCACUAGUGGGUCAACAAUAAAUAUUUGAAAGCUUUAAAAAAAAGUUUUCUUUCUUUUUUUUUUUUUUCUUUCAGAGUAAUUGUAGAUAUUCUUAGGCAUGUAGCUCAGUGGCAUAAGCGACUGCCUGGCAACUGCAAGGACCUGAGUUCAAGUCCCAGUACCCUAACAAAAAAGUUCUAGACAUUCUUCAUUAAACGAUCUCCCUACUUAAGGACUUUUUGGACUUAUAAUUGAGGUGUGCCGUUUAGACUUCCAACCCACGGCUCAGAUUUAUAGCCCCCCCCCCCGCUUUUUUAGAAGAUGUUCACACAUGCCAUUUAUUUGCAAAUUUAAAAUGUAGUAGGUCCUAGCACUCAGGAGGCUGAGGCAGGAGGAUCUUUGUGAGUUCAAGACCAGCCUGGGUUACAAAGUGAGCUCAAGACCAGCCUGAACUGCACAGUGAGACCCUGUCUCAAAGAGAUGACAAAAAAAAAGUAGUAGGACAAGAAGUGGUUCAACAGGAAUGUUGGAAAAGGAUGAAACCAGGAAAUUCUGGCCAGGGGACUGGCUCAGAGAGCACACAGGAGGACCCGGAAAGGUCUGAGUGAAGAGGUGUCUGCAGAAAGCUCCCAUUAGCCCGAGUCUGCUUCCUUCCACCCACAGGACCCAAAUACAGUACACAGACAUUGGGCAUGACUGCCUGUGUGCAAUUAUUGCAUCCUUUGUGAACAUCCAAGGCAGGUAGGGUAAAAAUUACCACAGCAGAGCUACUGACACAUCGAUAAGAAAACAUCUCAGUGUAAUGCGCUCUGGAAGAAAGCAUUCUGGGAACGCAGGGAAACCGUCCAGGGAGGAGCAGCUUACAAAAGCCUAAGAGGCUGAGAGAGAAGAGAAAGAUCUGAGCCACUUAUAGGAACACUUUUCUGAAGGAGAUACCAGAGAAUGAAGGCCCUUACCUGGAAGUUUUUUUUUGUUUUGUUUUGUUUGGUUUUUACCUGGAAGUUUUAAUGAUGUGGGGCUGAAGCGCAGAACGUGCUGGAAGUGUGUGGAGCCAACGCUGAGAAGGUUCUCCUUGCCAAGAGAAAAGGACUGAAAUACCUGCCAAGGCUUCUUGUAAAUCCAAGAAUCACAGAAC